GCAGGAUUAGUUUAGUGGCAGAAUAAGUGCUUCCCAAGCACUGGACGCGGGUUCGAUUCCCGCAUCCUGCA
rfam:Parcubacteria bacterium GW2011_GWA1_56_13 TY93_C0002, whole genome shotgun sequence.